rnacentral:rRNA from 1 species
AUUGAACGCUGGCGGCAGGCUUAACACAUGCAAGUCGGGCGGGGGAAGGUAGCUUGCUACUGGACCUAGCGGCGGACGGGUGAGUAAUGCUUAGGAAUCUGCCUAUUAGUGGGGGACAACAUCUCGAAAGGGAUGCUAAUACCGCAUACGUCCUACGGGAGAAAGCAGGGGAUCUUCGGACCUUGCGCUAAUAGAUGAGCCUAAGUCGGAUUAGCUAGUUGGUGGGGUAAAGGCCUACCAAGGCGACGAUCUGUAGCGGGUCUGAGAGGAUGAUCCGCCACACUGGGACUGAGACACGGCCCAGACUCCUACGGGAGGCAGCAGAGGGGAAUAUUGGACAAUGGGGGGAACCCUGAUCCAGCCAUGCCGCGUGUGUGAAGAAGGCCUUAUGGUUGUAAAGCACUUUAAGCGAGGAGGAGGCUACUUUAGUUAAUACCUAGAGAUAGUGGACGUUACUCGCAGAAUAAGCACCGGCUAACUCUGUGCCAGCAGCCGCGGUAA